GACGAACGCUGGCGGCGUGCUUAACACAUGCAAGUCGAACGGAAAGGCCCUGCUUUUGUGGGGUGCUCGAGUGGCGAACGGGUGAGUAACACGUGAGUAACCUGCCCUUUACUUUGGGAUAACUUCAGGAAACUGUGGCUAAUACCGGAUAGGAGCUCCUGCUGCAUGGUGUGGGUUGGAAAGUUUCGGCGGUUGGGGAUGGACUCGCGGCUUAUCAGCUUGUUGGUGGGGUAGUGGCUUACCAAGGCUUUGACGGGUAGCCGGCCUGUGAGGGUGACCGGAGACAUUGGGACUGAGAUACGGCCCAGAAUCCAACGGGAGGCAGCAGUGGGGAAUAUUGCACAAUGGGCGGAAGCCUGAUGCAGCAACGCCGCGUGCGGGAUGACGGCCUUCGGGUUGUAAACCGCUUUCGCCUGUGACGAAGCGUGAGUGACGGUAAUGGGUAAAGAAGCACCGGCUAACUACGUG
rnacentral:rRNA from 1 species